AGAGUUUGAUCCUGGCUCAGAACGAACGCUGGCGGCGUGCUUAACACAUGCAAGUCGAACGUGAUCCAGAGCUUGCUCUGGUGAAAGUGGCGCACGGGUGAGUAACGCGUGGAUAACCUGCCCUGGUAUCUGGGAUAACAUCUCGAAAGGGGUGCUAAUACCGGAUAAGCCUACGGACUCCUCGGAGUCUGCAGGAAAAGGAGGCCUCUAUUUAUAAGCUUCCGUAUCAUGAUGGGUCCGCGUACCAUUAGCUAGUUGGUGGGGUAAUGGCCUACCAAGGCGACGAUGGUUAGCUGGUCUGAGAGGAUGAUCAGCCACACUGGAACUGAGACACGGUCCCGACUCCUACGGGAGGCAGCAGUGGGGAAUUUUGCGCAAUGGGGGAAACCCUGACGCAGCAACGCCGCGUGAGUGAUGAAGGCUUUCGGGUCGUAAAGCUCUGUCAGAGGGGAAGAAAUGAAACGUGCUAAUAUCACGUUUUCUUGACGGUACCCUCAAAGGAAGCACCGGCUAACUCCGUGCCAGCAGCCGCGGUAAUAC
rnacentral:rRNA from 2 species